rnacentral:rRNA from 1 species
GAUGAACGCUGGCGGCGUGCUUAACACAUGCAAGUCGAACGAAGCGCUUAAACGGAUUUCUUCGGAAUGAAGUUUUUUGUCGACUGAGUGGCGGACGGGUGAGUAACGCGUGGGUAACCUGCCUCAUACAGGGGGAUAACAGUUAGAAAUGACUGCUAAUACCGCAUAAGCGCACAGUGCUGCAUGGCACAGUGUGAAAAACUCCGGUGGUAUGAGAUGGACCCGCGUCUGAUUAGCUAGUUGGUGGGGUAACGGCCUACCAAGGCGACGAUCAGUAGCCGGACUGAGAGGUUGAACGGCCACAUUGGGACUGAGACACGGCCCAG